rnacentral:tRNA from 1 species
GAAAGAAUAGACUAAAUUUAAGUCAUUAGAUUCAUAAUUUAAAAAUAAAUUUUAAUAAUUUUUCUUUUA